rnacentral:rRNA from 1 species
GAUCAUGGCUCAGGAUGAACGCUGGCGGCGUGCCUAAUACAUGCAAGUAGAACGCUGAAGGAAGGAGCUUGCUCUUUCCGGAUGAGUUGCGAACGGGUGAGUAACGCGUAGGUAACCUGCCUGGUAGCGGGGGAUAACUAUUAGAAACGAUAGCUAAUACCGCAUAACAGUAGAUGUUGCAUGACAUUACUUGAAGGUGCAAUUGCACCACUACCACGAUGG